GGGCUUGACAUCCCACGAACCUGCAGAGAUGCAGUGUGCCUUCGGGCGUACUGAGACAGGUGGUGCAUGGUUGUCGUCAGCUCGUGUCGUGAGAUGUUGGGUUAAGUCCCGCAACGAGCGCAACCCUUGCCGAUAAUUACUAACAGGUAGUGCUGAGGACUUUAUUGGGACCGCCGGGGACAACUCGGAGGAAGGUGGGGACGACGUCAAGUCCUCAUGGCCCUUAUGGGUAGGGCUUCACACGUCAUACAAUGGUCGGUACAGAGGGUUGCCAACGCGCGAGGGUGGGCUAAUCGGAGAAAGCCGGUCUCAGUUCGGAUUGUAGGCUGCAACUCGCCUGCAUGAAGUUGGAAUCGCUAGUAAUCGCGGAUCAGCACGCCGCGGUGAAUACGUUCCCGGGCCUUGUACACACCGCCCGUCACAUCACGAAAGCUGGCUGUACUCGAAGUCGCUGAG
rnacentral:rRNA from 1 species